rnacentral:rRNA from 1 species
GACGAACGCUGGCGGCGUGCUUAACACAUGCAAGUCGAACGGAGUGGCGAACGGGAGAGUAACACGUGGGUGAUCUGCCUUGCACUUCGGGCUAAGCCUGGGAAACUGGGUCUAAUACCGGAUAGUGCAAGAUGAGAUCGCGGCCUAUCAGCUUGUGGGUGGGGUAAUGGCCUACCAAGGCGUCGUCGGGUAGCCGGCCUGAGAGGGUGUACGGCCAAAGUGGGACUGAGAUACGGCCCAGACCCCUACGGGAGGCAGCAGUGGGGAAUAUUGCACAAUGGGCGGAAGCCGUAUGCAGCGACGCCGCGUGGGGGAUGAAGGCCUUCGGGUUGUAAACUCCUUUCGACAGGGACGCGGUACCUGUAUAAGAAGCACCGGCUAACUACGUGCCAGCAGCCGCGGUAAUUC